rnacentral:rRNA from 1 species
GAUGAACGCUGGCGGCGUGCCUAAUACAUGCAAGUCGAGCGAACAGACGAGGAGCUUGCUCCUCUGACGUUAGCGGCGGACGGGUGAGUAACACGUGGAUAACCUACCUAUAAGACUGGGAUAACUUCGGGAAACCGGAGCUAAUACCGGAUAAUAUAUUGAACCGCAUGGUUCAAUAGUGAAAGACGGUUUUGCUGUCACUUAUAGAUGGAUCCGCGCCGCAUUAGCUAGUUGGUAAGGUAACGGCUUACCAAGGCAACGAUAGGUAGCCGACCUGAGAGGGUGAUCGGCCACACUGGAACUGAGACACGGUCCAGACUCCUACGGGAGGCAGCAGUAGGGAAUCUUCCGCAAUGGGCGAAAGCCUGACGGAGCAACGCCGCGUGGGUGAGGAAGGUCUUCGGAUCGUAAAACUCUGUUAUUAGGGAAGAACGAAUGUGUAAGUAACUAUGCACGUCUUGACGGUACCUAAUCAGAAAGCCACGGCUAACUACGUG